GACGAACGCUGGCGGCGUGCUUAACACAUGCAAGUCGAACGUGAUUUUUGUGGAAAUUCUUUCGGGAAUGGAAAUGAAAUGAAAGUGGCGAACGGGUGAGUAACACGUGAGCAACCUACCUUACACAGGGGGAUAGCCGUUGGAAACGACGAUUAAUACCGUAUGAGACCACAGAAUCGCAUGAUAUAGGGGCCAAAGAUUUAUCGGUGUAAGAAGGGCUCGCGUCUGAUUAGCUAGUUGGAAGGGUAAAGGCCUACCAAGGCGACGAUCAGUAGCCGGUCUGAGAGGAUGAACGGCCACAUUGGAACUGAGACACGGUCCAAACUCCUACGGGAGGCAGCAGUGGGGAAUAUUGCACAAUGGGGGGAACCCUGAUGCAGCGACCCCGCGUGAGCGAAGAAGGUUUUCGAAUCGUAAAGCUCCUGUCCUAUGAGAAGAUAA
rnacentral:rRNA from 1 species